UUUUUUUUUUUUAAUUUCCCACGAGGUUGGGUGGAGCUCUGCUUUAUUUCUUCCCUUCUUCGGGGCUUGAUUGUUUAUAUUUUUCUGUUCUGAAAGCUGUGUGAGUCACACUUUGAUUUACAGUCUGUCCCAGGAGAGCCAGGAGACCCUAAUGAAAGAGCAGGCUGCAAGGGUAAUUAAUACCUACCAGACAUUCAACUGCACCAUUAGUGAGCAAUAUGUGCCUCUGUGUGUGCGUGAGCACUGGCAGCUGGAGAUGCACAGGCAGAGAUGAUGAUAUCCACUCGUACAGCCCUGAGCACCCCGUUAACCAGCUCCUGACACCCGAGGGAAAAAGACACACCCAAAGGAAAUUUCUGUCACAGAGAGCGAAGCUGGAAAGGGGCUGGGGUCAUGGUGAGAGGAGGUAACUGCAGGAAGCCAGGGAAUGGGCUGCCACUGAGGGAUACAGGAGGGAGGCUGGUGCAGAGCAUUGAUUGGGGAUGCUGCGAUGGAGAGAAGUCGGGAGGGUGAUGGAUCACUCUUGCUUAAAACAAACAAAAACCAGGCAGCUUGCCAGGAACGGCUUAGGCCAGUUUCAUUAAAACUCUUCAUUCAUCAUGCUGAAACGAGGAGGUAUUUGUUAUUGCAGCCGUGGUGUGCUGGUGCAGGAGCUAUUACGAGAGUGGGUGGCAAUACAAGGAGGGGGCAGUGGGAGGAGAUGGGAGGGUAAUGAAGGAUGGAGGCGACUGGGAGGCGACAGGGCUCAAGUAUCACUUACCAUCCACUGGAGUGACAAAAAUCACCCCCUAUCUCCUGCAUGGAUCUGGGCUGAUAAGGCUUCACAUCCAUCCAGACAAAUUUCCAGGAUGGGAGAGGAUUCCCUGCUUCCAGGUGUAUUUAUUCCCAUCAUUAGACCAAAUAACGGCACCAAAACAUGCUGGGGCUCGCUGUGGUGCCAGGCUCAGCUGUGGUCAUGAAUCCACUUAAUGUCACCUCAGGAAAUCCUAACAGCAUGAUGCUCAAAUAAAAGCACUACACCUGCCUGGAGAGGGACUGGAUGGAUCUCUUACACCUUCUCCAUCUCUGCAAUCCGUAUUAGAUUCUGCUCUCCCUGCCCAUGUAUCCAGGGAAAGCAGAAACUGCCUCACUACGUGGCUGUGACUCCCUCACCCUUGACUUUAGUCUCACUUUCCACUUCAUUGCAUCUCCCCGGCAGCUCUGAGGACACAGCACUGCCAACACAAAGCACACCACCAUCCCUCAGCAUGAGCUAAGGAGGGCAUGGCACUACCUGCAAGUGGCUUUGUGAGUGACCUUAAUGCCAGCACCAAAUUCCCUCCAAGGAUGUAAUCUUCCUGUCCACCUGCAUCCAAACAAACUCCUCUCUGAACUUUUUCGUCAGGUUCCCAGGCGGUGACCCAUACACCCUUGCAGCUGCAUGGUUGGCAUUAAGGCCAGCCUUUGACUUUAAACCUUGGUGACUGCAAUUCCUCCAGAGAAAUCCGUCUCCACCUAAGUGUACCUAUUAAGUGACAUCCAUGCUGGCUCGUGCACAGGGAGUGCAGCUGUGUAAUGUCUGUGUGCUGCUAUGUGUGGUGGGGGAAGAGAAGGUGAGAGCUCGGUUCGUUGUGAUGUGUUUUACUGAGCAGCAAGAAGCCCUGCUUGAACACUGAUAAGAGAAAUCCAGGAAUACAACCAUCGAAGGAUUGAGAUGAAGGAAAAAAAGGAAAAAACAUGUGUGUGACAGGGAACAUUUACACUCAUUUAUUUAUUAUUUACUUAUCUUCACACACACACAGCAAAAGAGGCCUUGGGGUGUGCACAUCCAUGUGUCUAAGCUGUGCCACCAGCCUGGCUUGAAAUCACAGGCCUUGAAUUCCCCAGUCUGAGCUGCUGCUUGGAGUAAGAGCUGGUAUUUAUUUCCACAGUAUGCUUCCUUUCCAAGAGAAAUUCUUUGUAUGUCUGAGUGACCUGACAAUCAGCCUCAAAAGUAAGAAAGCUGUCUCUGGGGAAACAUUGGAAACACUGAAAUAGGUGCCCAGAGGGGCCUCGGAGGAAACUCAGCAUCCCUCUCUGCCACAGUGCUGGAGACAGACUGGUAAUAUGGUGCCUGUGCAUCAUGGUGCUCACCCUCCUCACACUCCAGAUAUAGAAACAAGUGUGGUAUCAUGGUGAGAGCAACUGAUAAGUUACACCUGCAACAUCGCCAGUCCAUCCCAGUUGCAGCUAAAGGGUGGUUUUGCUAUGUUGUUUGGUGCAACAUAGUACAGGCUACAAACCAGCAUGCUCACUGGCUAUGUUUGAAAGGAUCUGCUGCAGGAGCAGCAGCUGCAUAAUGGUAAUCAGCACUGGCCCAAAAUUUUUGAAAGAAACAUUUUCUGGGAGAAAAUUCAAAUUGAACCAAAAUGGCAUAUUUUGCAGAAAAGUACCAAUUGCACUGAAAUCUUCAAGGAAAAAUUUCAUGACAGAAUCUCAUUUGGAUAAGGCUGGGGAAAAAAAUAGGUUGAUAUUGCAUUAUAUGAAUAUAACACAAAGAGGAAGCUAAAUGCCUUGGUAAGUUGGAAGUAAAACAGUUUUAGACUCUUUGUAGAUGUUUCCAAUAGUAUAACUUUCUCCUCCAUUUUUCCUCAGGUCAUGUGACAAAAUUUUUAAAAUCUUAGACUUUCCAGAGAUGAAAAACUGGUUUUCGGUCACUUAGAAUUUCUCCAAGAAUAGGGGUUUUUUUUGGCAUUUUUACCCAUUUUCAUCUAGUGAACAGAGAAAUGAAUGUCAUCUCUCCCUAGAACCACAAGUAAUCUCUCAGUGGAGACAACCCCAAAUGUGGGCACAGCUGUAUCUGAUCUAGGAGCAUUCCAAGCCAAUGGGUGAGCAGUUCCUGACAUUCAUAUUGCUCAUGUCUUUACACAUAUAUGUCUGUCCUUAGGGGUAGCAGACCUAUUUAGGCUGUGGAGAGCUUAGACUUGCCUGAAGGGACUGAAAAUGGUACCCCUCCACAGGACUGCUAUGACUCAGUGUCAGAAGCAGGGACAGGAUUUAAGCCUUACACCUCGACAUCCCACUUCCCUGUUCUUCCAGACAUACAACACUCAUUUGGUACCCAAAGUGCUGGGCUGGUUUUCCAAAGUGUGCCUUGCCUUAUAGCUGAUUAAUAACACACCUGCUAGAAACUUUCUCCUAAUGCUUGACCUAAAUAUUCUCUGCAUUUCUCCUGUUGGCUAGUAAGAAUAAUUGGUCUCUUCUCUUCACAACAUAUUCCUUCAUAUAUCAGCAGACAGACCUCACGUCUCCCUUCUGCCUUCCCUGUUCCAGCCUUCAUCAGCCUUACACCAGUGGUGAGGGUGUAAUUUGGACCAUUCACACACAGCUCUUUCAGCCUUCUGCUCAGAGGGCUUCCAGCAUGAAGAAUUAGUCUGGUUUUCUCCACUUUGAUGGUACACAGGGGUGUUCUCCUUGUUUCUCCAAUGUGUGCAUGGCACAGAUGUGACUCAGGAAGCUAGAAUUAAAGAGAAUCAUAUUUGCUCAUUUACAUCGAUUGUGAGACUGAAAGGUUCUAACAAAGCCUAUUCUAAAAUCAAUUUUUUCUGACUUAAAGUGGCCCUUCUGCAUUCCAGUAAUGAGAAUAAAAUACUGCAUUUCACCAAAAUCCUAUUACACUGUCAUGAAUAUCCCAUCACACUGUCAAGAAUCAGGUGAUGGUGCUCUGUGGUGUCCCCCUUAUUGAUGGGAAAUCAUCCUGCUUAAAGGUUCAGUUUGAACAAGGUCUCAGGAAGCCUGGAUCUUUUUCUGUGGUGCCUUGAAGCCCUGUGGUUCCUCCUGAGCUGCAGCCAUCCUGGUGAUCCCUGCCAGUGCAGAUCCUCCUCCACACUGCACCAAGUGGGCAACUGAAUAUCCUCAUUAUUUUUCAAGAGGUGCCCAUCAACCUACAGGAUGAAGUUCAGAAGAGAGAAUUGACAUAGGUGGCUUCUUUCCUGCUGAUGCCACUGUGCAUGUUCAGGAGUCAGGGCUGCAGCAUUUCCUCUCAAGCACCACAUCUUUGGGUCAUCUUGGUCCAAUGUGUCAUUUUGGUCCACGUCCUCCAUCUGGUAAUUUUUACCAGGAGCCCCAGGAAGCUGGGGAAUUCUCAUUUAAUGGACACACAGGGAUAUGCCACUCCUCCCAGGUAAGCAUAUUCUUCCCUGCUUUCCAUAUUUCUAAAAGAUUCCAAAUCAAGGCUCAGACAUUUCAGCUUGGCCAAAGAGGGAAGGGAGAAAAGCAAAAAUAAAAUCUGAAUCAAAACUUCUGAAAAGUUGAGGAGCAUGAAAACUCUUGGGUCCAGAUCCAGGAAUAAAUUUUACAGCUGGCACCUGUUUGCCUUCAUUACAAAUGAAAUGCAAAGCUCUGAUUACACCACAAGCUUCAAGGCACUUAAAAGCUAACUGCAGAUCAAACUUUUUCCGAUGAAGCCAUGUUCCACCCAGUCGAAUUAGUUCCUGCUUUCUCCAGAUGGCAUCUCCCUUCUCUUAUCUAAACUAAAAUAAGUGUGUAAAGGAAUCCUUCUGGGUUGUCUUCCCGUUUUUCACUUCAAGAAUGCUGCUAUUUCUUCCGCUCCUCUCAGCAGAAAUCAGGAAGGUAGGGCCCUGCAGCAGUACCUCUUACACCAACAAAAGCCCCAGAAAUUCCACCUAAAUGUAAGAAAACACUUUUUAACUAGGAGAGUGAUCAAACACUGGAACAGGUUGCCCAGACAGGUUGUGGAGUCUCUGUGGACAUGCUCAAAAGCCAACUGGACAUGGUUCUGGGCAGCCUGGUCCAGCUGGCUCUGCUUGUGCAAUGGGGUCAAACUAAAUGGUCUCAAGAGGUGCCUUCCAAACCCAAGAGUUCUCAUUAAUUCAUUCAACAUCUCAGGGCUCUGCUUUGCUGAAAUCAACGGGGUUAUGCUGAGGUUUUCACAGAAAGUUGUGGAAUACAGAAAGUCUUCCACAGAAGAAGGUUAGACAGAACCUACCCUUCAAAAUUCAUUUUAGAAGAAAAAGUAGAAUAAAAAUCCCCACCACUAAAUGGAUACACUGUAAGUGUGAUAGCUGCACAAGUAUGCUAAUGCAAGGAAAUGCUAGAACUACAUGGCACAUAUUCCUUAAAUAACAAGAUAUAUUGUGUCACUCACUUCUCUUCAUAACUUAUGCAGCAUACAGAUGAGUGUGGCAAGAUUUCUCAGCUCCACGACUUAUCUGUGCCUUAUCAAACCUUAAUAUUCUGCUAGUGUAGUUUGUUCUUUCUUUCCUUCUUCAUUUUUUUUCUUUCUCCCUUUCUUUCUCAUUCCAAUAAUUUUUCCUGCUUUUAUUUUCCUUUCUCUUACUCACUUCCUUGUUUUUCUUUAAAAAGCCCAAUAAAAAUCCAAUUGAAAUGCGGAUAAAAAGAAUAAAUUUACAUUUUUGGAGCCUAUAGUUGAGAUUUACAAAGCUGUGUGAGGGGUUUACAUGUACAUCUCCCAUUUAUUUACUUGGUAAUUCCUACAAAAAGCUCUCUGACUCUAUGUACAGAACUAGAAGCGGAUUACCUUCUCCCCACCCACAUAAAAAUCUUCUGGUCUUCUUUGGGAGAGUGAUACUCCAACCUGCCUUUAUUGAUAUUUUCUUGUGCAUUGCAAGUAUGAUCUUUUCCAUAGUAAGAGACGACUGUGCUAAGACCACACCUAGUUUGCAAAAUGGGGAGGUGGAUGUGAUUCAGGGAGCCCUUUUGAUAUCUAAAUAAUAAUCAGCAUUCAUCCCAAAAGGUAGUGCCAACUGUCCCUACACCAAUAAAUACCUCCUUUGCUACGCACAAGCACAGAUUUCCAAGUUUCCCCUGACAAAAAGGCUGUGCUUUCUGCUGAGGUGUGCCACCCUGACACAUCAAGCAUCCUGGGCAACACUCACAGACCUCCUGGAGGGCUUCCACAAAUCCUUCAGCAGUGCCCAGUAAAAGAAGGGAAGAACAGCAGCUGCCAUUCCUGACAGGUAACCAGAAACCUGAGAGCUGCUCCAUAAAAAACUGGACCUUUUUGGGGAUUGACAGUGACAGACACUGCCAGACCCCACUCUUAUCUGGCAGGCAUGGUUGAUUUGUUCUUCCCGUUGCCAUCACAUGGGAUUCCCCCUGCUCUGUGGCCACAUCCUGCAGGCUCAGAGGGUUUGAUGGACUAAUUGCCAAGUUCAUAUGUAAAGGGUCUCAUGUGGAAUUGGCUGGAAGCAGGUGGGAAGAGACAAGAGGCACAGCAAGCAGCGUGCUGGUAACAGAUAAUCCGGCCCUGACAGCGGGGCUGGCAUGGCCUGCCCUCGGAGGGGAGAUGAACGCAUUAUCUUCCAGCUGCACGUGCCCAGCAGCCGCUCCCACUGCUCUGAGCGGAGAUUUAGGCACUUGCAGUUCCCAUCUUCUCAGUAUUUUAAAGCAAGUGAAGUUAUCUGCUCCCAAGAAGGGGAAUAAAAUGGGAGUUCACCGUGCUGCCACACAUUCCUCAAAGAAGACGUCCCAUCUGUGGUCAGGGUGUUUCACAGGACUGCUCUCACAUGGCUGUUCUUCAGCUGGGAGAACAAAUGAAUUUUUCCAGGGGUCUCUCCCAAAAAUACAAUGGAUGAUAAGAGAGAGGGGAUUCUUCUUGGAUAUAAGACCCCUUUGGAUCUGUUGCUGUUGAGGCAGGACGGGAAUGAAGAGACUCUGAUUAGAAGGCUGCUGAGAGUAAAACUCUGAUUUAUUCAAAAUAUACUGCUUUUUUAUACAGAAUUUUGUGAGGACCAACUCCAUUGGUCCUGAAGUGAAAACAACCACACCAUUGGUGCAAAGUGCUUGACACACAGUUAUAGAACUGAACUAUAAAUAAUGUGAAUAACAGAAGAGAUAAAGAAUUAUUUACAUUCUUUUUCAACUCUUUCCCAGGCUUCUGCCCAGCUAGAAACUCCUGUUUCUCUCUUUGACUGAAUCUGAGACCUACAGGAUCUAUCCUAAGUGCAAAUAUAUGCUUGUAUCUCUUGAAGUUUGUCAUAGUUUUCCAGUAUCUGAUAAGACAAUAUUGGCUUCUUUGAACAUGAAGCAUCAUCACAAAAUUCAUAGACUCUUCUCUCACCUCCAGAUAUGCCACCCUCUAGAGCCCAGUAAAGCUCACACCUUCACUGAACCAUGCUGUGUACAUCCAACAUAGAGCACUAAAACCUUUAUUUCUUCCCCUCCUUCCCUCCCUCCAUUCCUCCCUUUGUCCCUCCCUUUCGCAUAUCAUCCUCAACUGGACAGACACUCAGCCUCAAAAGGCACAAAUGCACAGAACAUUUUGCUCAAAUGCAGAGCCCUCACUCUACACACUUCCCUUCCCCAAAGCCUCACCUAAAAUAAAGCAGGAGAUAUCCCAGCUCCUCACUUUCCACUUCCUGCCCUUAUUACUUCACAGCCUGCAAGCGUAUGGCUCCUAAUACUGUGCACAACAUCUGCUUUAAACUAAAAAAGCAGCAAGAAACAUCACGCAUUGCUGGCUUUUAGGCAGAACUUAUCUGCAAAUAAAACAGACAAUGUGCCUGUGUGUCCAAUUGGGGUCUUUUGUUUCACUGCUGAUUAUUUAAUUUCAAGUGCCCUGAGUGUCUCAGGCAUUUACCACAAAUGAAUGAAGAUGCAGCUCCUGUGUGUCAGGAAUAUACAAGCUCAAUUCAACAGAAUACAAUGAGUGAAGGUCAUGAAAAAGCAGGGGGAUAAGCAGAGGCACGAGUGGGUGGUUAACGGCAGAUCAUUAUUACUCAGCAAGGCCUAGACUUAAAAGAAUGGCUUCUAUUUUGGAGGAGCUUUAUUACCUCUUUCUCUCCCCACAGGCGAAAGAGUGAGGAUGGGUUCAGCCGGCUGAUCUGGCUGAGAUUUGGCAAGUGGUGUCCUGAACAAGCUUGGGGAUGGUGCAGCAGGCAGUGAAGAGGGGAGGCACAGAUGAAAAAAGGCUUAAGGAGAACAUCUAUGCUGUCACACAGCUCCUUGAGGCAUCCAAGGACCAAACUCAGUUUCUCUUGACUCUGCAUAGCACUCAGGGACAGAGACAGGGAAAGUCAAAGCACAGACACUCCAAGGCCAGACUACAGUGCCUGCUGCACUCAGGGUGCUGCAGAGAGGAGCAGGCAGGGCAAAGGUUGUGGGAUUUGUAAACUGAGGGUGAGAAGGUGGUGCUGGAGUUGCUGAAUUUGAUUUGGUCUGGCUCCCAAAACACAUUCAUGGCAAUGGAAACAAUUCCAACCUUUCUGUAGGUGCUGAGGGAGCCCUCCCUCAGUACUGAAGCUCAGUCUGAAUUUCCUUUAUGACCUGGUCUUGCAUAAGGCUUCAGAUGAGUCAGGUGUGCCCAGAUCAUCCUUAGUGAGGAGCACAGUCCAUGCUUUGUGAAUAACCCGUUGUCGGCAACCACAGGCACUUGCUUAGCAAACAGGUUUUCUAAUUAAUAAUAUUUACUUCUUCUGAAUCUCUGAGGCUAUUUUGCUAUAAAUGUUCCAGCUUCCAACAGUACAUUUUGGUCAUUAUCAGAUUAAAAAAAAAAAAAAAAAAAAA
ensembl:lncRNA